rnacentral:rRNA from 1 species
UACGGAGGGGGCAAGCGUUGUUCGGAGUUACUGGGCGUAAAGCGCGCGUAGGCGGUGCGGUAAGUCAGGGGUUAAAGGCUGCAGCUCAACUGCAGUAAGGCCUUUGAUACUAUCGCGCUAGAGUACCAGAGAGGAUGGCGGAAUUCCAGGUGUAGCGGUGAAAUGCGUAGAUAUCGGGAGGAACACCAGUAGCGAAGGCGGCCAUCUGGCUGGUAACUGACGCUGAGGUGCGAGAGCGUGGGGAGCAAACAGG